rnacentral:rRNA from 1 species
AGAUUGAACGCUGGCGGCAUGCCUUACACAUGCAAGUCGAACGGUAGAGUAGCAAUACUUGAGAGUGGCGAACGGGUGAGUAAUAUAUCGGAACGUGCCCAGUCGUGGGGGAUAACGUAGAGAAAUUUACGCUAAUACCGCAUACGAUCUAAGGAUGAAAGCGGGGGACCGUAAGGCCUCGCGCGAUUGGAGCGGCUGAUAUCAGAUUAGGUUGUUGGUGAGGUAAAAGCUCACCAAGCCAACGAUCUGUAGCUGGUUUGAGAGAACGACCAGCCACACUGGGACUGAGACACGGCCCAGACUCCUACGGGAGGCAGCAGUGGGGGAAUUUUGGACAAUGGGCGAAAAGCCUGAUCCAGCAAUGCCGCGUGCAGGAAGAAAGGCCUCGGGUUGUAAACUAGCUUUGUUACGGAACGAAACGGUA